rnacentral:rRNA from 1 species
UACGUAGGGUGCGAGCGUUAAUCGGAAUUACUGGGCGUAAAGUGUGCGCAGGCGGCCGCGCAAGUCGAGUGUGAAAGCCCCGGGCUUAACUUGGGAAUUGCGCUCGAAACUACGUGGCUGGAGUGUGGCAGAGGAAGGUGGAAUUCCUGGUGUAGCAGUGAAAUGCGUAGAUAUCAGGAGGAAUACCGAUGGCGAAGGCAGGUCUCUGGGCUGACACUGACGCUCAUGCACGAAAGCGUGGGGAGCAAACAGG